rnacentral:rRNA from 1 species
AGCAGUAGCCGCGGUAAUACAGAGGGUGCGAGCGUUAAUCGGAAUUACUGGGCGUAAAGCGUGCGCAGGCGGUUAUAUAAGACAGAUGUGAAAUCCCCGGGCUCAACCUGGGAACUGCAUUUGUGACUGUAUAGCUAGAGUACGGCAGAGGGGGAUGGAAUUCCGCGUGUAGCAGUGAAAUGCGUAGAUAUGCGGAGGAACACCGAUGGCGAAGGCAAUCCCCUGGGCCUGUACUGACGCUCAUGCACGAAAGCGUGGGGAGCAAACAGGAUUAGAUACCCCAGUAGUCCCUGUCUCUUAUAC